GCGCUUCGCAGCGAGAUUGCUUGUUGAACGUGUCGUUUUGUCGACUCGAUUUUGCGUUGAACUCUUGUUCUCGCUCGUUUUUUUGGUUGAAUAGGUCUUUGAAGUGUCCCAAUACCAUGAUACUGAUCAAUCCUGAGAAAUGGUUUCCAAGGCCCAAGUCUUCAAGACUCGUCCUCUUCCCCUCCGUGGCUGAAGGAUGAUGCCUUCCAAGUUUUAUUCUAUGGUUCCCUCGAAAAUUCCAAAUCCAAGUAUGGCUACAGAAAUUCGAUCCUGUUCAGUCAAAAGCAUGGAAGGACCAAGUCUGGAAAUUCGACUUCAGGCCAGAUUGGUUGACAGAUAGUAUUGCAAAAUUCUCAAAUUAGUCAAAAUUCUGUUUUUGGGUGGGUGGGGACAUGUAAUUCCAUUUUUUCCACCUUUCAGAUAAUAAUGUUCAGUCUCCUCAGGUCAUUGCUGGUCAUUUGUCCUUCUCCAAGGCAUUGCCUGCUGGUGGAUCUUUUUCGGUCGUUUUUGGCAAGUACUGAUUCUGGCAAGUACUAAUGUCUUUGGUCAUCAAAUUGCCACAUUAAAAGUUCCUUGGAAGUAAACUGUUCAAGUUAUUUUUAGAUUAUGGUGAAACUAGAAUUCAAUACAAAUCAAAUACAAUAGUAGUAUCAGGUGGUAUUUGGAUUAAAGCCCUAUCAUUCACUGACCUACAUCCAUACAUAUAAAUCUUGAUCAUGAACAAUUUAUCCAUAUUUAGACUCGAAUAUUUUUUUGUGUACUUCACAAUUAUGGAAUAAAAGCAUUUGAGCCUGAGGCUCGUCAAAAUAAAAAGUGUAUUGGUGUUAGUUUGGGAGAAUUUAUUCUCUUGUUGCCGUGUUCUUGAAAUAAAAUGUUCCAUGUGAAAUCUAUAUGAUAAGAACCAAGCUGGGCUCAUGUCCCGAUGGCUUCUGUAACAUUGGGGUUCAUCAUGAAUGUGCGGGUAACCCUGUUUGUUUUCCUGCUAGUGUUGUUCCAGGUUAGAAGAAUGUUCUGCUCUUCUAUUCUAUCGAUGGGAGUUCAACGUACCAAAUAAGUACUUUUGUUUCAACCAUUCAUUACUUCACUAAAAAUAGUUCGUCUUGAGUAUACAUUUGCUGGUUGUUUUAAAUUUUGAGCUGUAUUUAACCUUUUCUCGAGUUUUUUUUGCUUGUUGCUGGUCAGUGAGUUGCACUACUGUCACGAGUCGGCAGCGUAAUAUAAUCUGCUGUUGCUUUCCAUUACGUGACCGAGACAUAUUGUGUAUUUUCUUGCGUGUGUCUGAUGGUACCUUGUGAAUGUGAGUUGGGUGUUGUUCAUACCUUACUUCACACAAGUACAAGAUUUAUAAAAACCCCAGGUAAGGAGGGGUAUGUAUCUUCAUAUUUUUUGACUCACUUCACAUGAGUAUUCUACAAUUCAUAGAUUAGAACUUAAACCACACCCAUGCUUUCAAUUUACGAAAACCUUAAAUUAAAAUGUCCUUGCAUUCUUUUUGAUGGUGGCUUUUGGUUGUCAUGCUGACAUAUCAAUUGAUGCACUUUUGGUUCUUGCGCAUGUUGAUGUUUGAACAUUAUACUAUAGCGACAGCCUCAAUUGGUGCUUGUGUAUCUGUGCAUGUUUUUUUUCAACCCUGUCUUGUCAGGUAACAGUUGCUGAGGAUGGCAUUUCUUCUGCACUAAGGCUGGUCUGGAAUGAUCAAGUCACAGGAGGUUGAGAUUUGUCCGGUCUACUACAGUGACAGUAUACUGUGAAUCUGAAUGGCAAGAGAAAGUAAGAAAAAUACUGAGGUAUCAUUCUAAAUUUCGUUUGGUUACUAAUUGCCAAGAAUUGUUAUUUUCAAGGUGUUUCAAAUAAACCCGGUGUGCUGUUUUGUAAGACAAUGACAGUGUAUGGAAAAAUAUUGUAAAAAGAAAUGUGUCGACGGAUUAUUGGUAACAUUAGACGUUUUCUGGUGUGUCUUGUUUACCUCGUCACCAUGCCAUGCUCUGCUUUCAUCCCCUAUCUUUGACAGGUGUGUUCCUAUCAUUACCUGGUAACCCAACAGGAAAAGUUCCCAUUCAGUGUGAUGGUCUGUUCCUCCAGGCUUGAAGGCAAGGUUAACUUGAAUAGUGCAUGUGCUACUCUUGCAAGUGGCUUUGAACAAGUACCAUGUAUAGGUAAAAUGUUCUUCAAAUGUCAUGUCAAUAAACCAUUCACUCAAGAAAUCAUCCCAAUGCAGUGAUGAAGGUCCAAAUUCCAUAUGUAAAUAAAAACUGUAAAUUUUAACAGUAAUAGUCCUGUGAAAUUGAUUUUAAUUUUGCAUGUUUUUGUGCCAUGGUUUUGACUUCUUCUUGAUUCAGUGACCAAGAAUAUUCAAUCCUGAAGAUCAGCCUGUGUUGACACGGUGGCUAUAAAUAUUUCAUGCUCUUCCAAGUGUUCAAUUUGGUAAAAAAAUCUUUGCAAGUAUUUUACCUUUCUUGUUUUAUGUAAAUAGAUCAAUGUGUCUCGGUCAUGUAUUAAAUUGGCAAAUGUAUACACAUAACUCAAAUGGAGAUGGGUCCCAUCAAAAUAAGGUAAAAUUUUGUUUUUACUUUGAUAUCUGCAAACUGCAUGAUAAUCUGAAGCAAAAUGUAAAAUGGAUAGCUGCUCAAGGCUCAAGUGAGUAUCUUGUAGCAUUGGAAAGCCACUGUACACUGUUCUGGAGGAUCUGUAGCUGUAAGGAAUUUAUGGUUUGGUGUCAUGUGUAAUUUCUUAACAUCUCUUUCCCCUCAUGUAAAUUUGAUUUAGCACAUUUUAUCAGGAGCUGUAGGAAAUGGUAGAAGGUUGAAAGGAAGUUCAAAAGUUGUCUGUUGGUAUGUCAUUUCUAAUAUCGCAACAUCAGGAUAAUUUACCACAUCAGAGUGGAACAUGUGAGAAGCAUGACAUGGAUGGGGAUAUGCACUUGUGGACGAAGGAAAAUAUUUGUAGGGUGCCACUUAUGACCCUUAAAUAAAUUUCAUCGCAGAGUCAUGAAAACAAUAAAUACACCACUGUGACCACAUAUCGAGAGUAACAUAAUUACAUUCACAUCUUGUUGAUUUGUACAUUUUUGUUGAAUGUUCCUCAAUCUACUAUAGUUGUCAUGAAGAAUUCAACAACUUCUAAUAUUUUACAACUAAUAUUGUUAUAAUUGUUUCGAUGGACUUGGUUUUUUUGGUCUCUGUGUAAUUUUAGAGUACAGGAGAACAAGCAAGGGAUGAAGUACAGGGCGUUUUCAAGAGUGUGUCAUAAGUUGUGGUAAAGAUCAUGAGAUAAGUCACGGAAGUUGUGCAGUCUGAUUAUUUUUCAAUACAAUUUCUGUUUUGUAAAAACUAUAUACUUCAUUGUUUGGCAAUGUGUUGCCCGCUACACUAUUCACCUGUUAAUUAGUUGUUGCCCGUUUAGUGGCUUGCACCCUCCACUAGAUAACAACCUGUGUCUUUCUUUUUUAACUGCAUGGGCUAUGUCCUUGCUGAAUUGCUUCUUCAUCAGUCCAUGUAACCUCUUAUGUAAUUUUGUAAAAAUCCAAGCCAAAACUAAAGCUGGUCAGGUGUCUGCCUUUGAUUUUAGCGUCAUUUGCUAUUUUGUAAUUUCAAGUAACAAUUUGUCUAUAGCAUAAAUUUGCUUAACUGCCUUGUUGAAUGGGUUUUGGGUGGGCCAUGUUCCAACCUUCUUUUUUAAUAGGUAGACUGUUGUCACAUGCUAGCUUGGUGACCUGGCACGCUGCUGAGCUGAGAGUGAACCUUGAAUGCUGCACUCCUUAGAUUAACCAUUUCGAUCCUGGAUGUGUCUAUGUGAAUAACAAGUCUUGUCCUCCCCUGAAUGAUCCCUGGAGUUGUGUCUGGUUUGUUCACGGUAUAUUUUUUCAUAUCUUACUUUUGCUUAUUUUCAAGCUGAAGUGAAUAUAAUUAUGUGACUUAAUAUUACCAAUGGCAAUUCCGUAAUCUCAUUUUCCUCUCACUAAUUCGGCAAUACAUAUAUGCCUGGGUGGGUUGGGUUAAUAACCAUUCUUGUUCUCCAGAGCAAAGUGCGAGUGACUGCCAAAAAGCUACACCAGUUCGUGCCCUAUGCCCACUGUCUACCCUGUAGUAAGUGCAUGAAAGUAAGAUAGAUACUUAUCCUUGCUAUCUCUUUACUUUACAGUCAUCUUGUAUGAUAAUACCUAGUUGCCUAGUCAAAGAAAUAAUUUACUUGUGUAAAUACAAAACAUGCAUCUUCAGUGCAUCUUUGUGCUUGUUUGCCACUGUUUUUUAAACAAUUUUGUAACACACUGUUGCUAAUGAAUUUCUGAGAAAUUGUCUUUGUGUUCUGGUGCCAUUGUUAUUUCAAGAAAAGCACCGUAGGUUGAAUUUGAAAGAUUGGUUGGUGGGUUUUUAGAUAAGCGUUGUAUGUUCUAUGAACUUCUGAGUAGCGCUGGUCCUCAACCCUUGGUGAACCGGAUCGGCAAGUUUGCACGGCGGUUAGCCUUGUGGUGGGUCUUGGCUGCACCAAGUUUUAGAACUGCAGUGAAAGUUCGGGAACAAUGUUCUAUGAGCUCGAGUUGCACUGGUCUCUAACCCUAGGUGACCCGGGUCGUGACCGGCUUUCAUCUGAAGACUUCCGGCCCAGCUGGGUUCCAAAGGAAUUUUCAGUGUGAUUGGUCGGUGUACGGCGGCGAACCUUGUGGUGGGUCUCGGCUGCACCGAGUGAAAUAGAGCCACAAUGCACCAAUUUACUUUUUGUCUAAGGGGGGUGGGGCUGUGUGGAGAACAUGUUUUUUGUUUACUUCAGUGAAAGUGCAUACAGAGUUGAAAUGUUGGACAACAUAUGCAGAGGAAAACAAUGCGGUGUACACAGUCUCGAGACUGGGCACAAUGUUUUGUGGAUUUCUUCAGGUAAAAUUUUGCAAAUAUUGUGAAGUUCAUUGUUAUCUUGUUCUUGGAUGGUUCAGCUGAUCUGCGUGUAAUGACCAGAAAAUUGCGAUAUGCGAGUAUCUUAUCUCAUUUUAACCCUUCGAGGUCCUGAUAAGUUCUUGAUUUUGAUGACCGUUGCUUGUACUUUUGAAGUAGAAAUGAUUGGGAAAGUCAAAAUGAGUCUCUUGUUCAUUGGGUUGGGGAGGGAAACUUAAUUUUUCCUAUCCUAAGUAGAUCAGAACAGGUUGACCGCUGCAAGAACUCGAGGUACAGAGUACAAGGAGGCGGAACACGGGAACAUUUCUCAUACUUAUCAUCUGUAUCAUUGUAAGGAUUUUAUUAUUAUUAAUGUAUUUUGAAUGUUCAUGGUCUUUGCUAAUUAUUAUAACAUUUGGAAUGGCGGCUUCAGUAAAUACUUGGAAGGGAUACAUGCAGGAGAGGAAAAAAUGUCUAAGAGGAGGUCUUGUUAACAGUGAGAAGCUGUUUGUUUAGUUAUGGGAUAAUGUGGUCUUGAAAGAACUAGCCUGAUUUCUGAUUUUGGAAGCACUUGUUCACAUAUGUUUCACUGCUAAAUUUAUACUUUGAUUUCAAAUGCCAAUCAUGUCUCGUGCAUUCAUGUAAUGUUUUGCCCUAAUAUUUGGGGAGGGGUUUUUUUAUGCGUUUUUUUGGCAGGUCCUCCAACAUGACUCGCUCAUCUUGCUGAAGUUCAUGGUCCGUUCAAAGAAGCUUGUAAGAGAUCCGUGGAUUGCCCUUCCAUACAUCAGACAAUUCCUGCUUUGUCCUGGACAACUGAUGCAACACCUCCAAGUUCUAUGUUGGGCACAUUAAAAUUUUGACUUCGAGCUGAUCCAAAACCUAGGGUUUCACUUCAAGUAAAGUCUACCUGUACUGGAGGCAAAGGGAAACGAUUGUGCGGUUAGUGAGUGAAUGGCGUCUAAAACUUUGUUGUGCAACAAGUCGAGUACCUUUGCAGUUCAUACUUUGCUGUAAAUAGAGUUACAAUUUGUUAAAUUUGUUGGCUCCCACUAUCACUUCGAUUAUUACCUGUAUAUUGCACUUCAGUUGGAUGGGAAUGUUUUAUGAUUGAAUGAUUUGGUAAAUGGGUACAUUGUUGCCUUGUGGGGUUUACUGCAAACACUUUUUUUAUGUUUUUGGCAUGCUUUCUCUAGUACAAUGCUUUGCUUAGGUCCUGCUCUUACUUUACUGCGCUAACCCUUAACCCUUGGCAAACUGCUCGGCGAUCUUCUGACCCAGUACCACUUAUACCAACCAGAUCUGGGGUAUUUGGGGGAUCUGCUGGGUCAAAGACGGACGGCAGGGAUCCUUGUGGUGGUGUUAUGCUGCACUGAUGCCCACAGCUGGUCAUAGCCACUGUGAAGAUUGGAGGCCCCCACACACCCAGUUGCUUAUCGGUCCAUGCACCGGUGUUCUAUAGGAUGGGAGGCCCAGACGCAAUCGCAAGUCUGUUGUUGGUUUACUUGACUGAUAGUGAUGUCGGAUCCUCGCAUCUUAUUCUUGGCUGUUGUGAAGAUGAAAGCCUCGUCGCAAGUUGCUUCAGCCCCAUUGGCCAAUGUUCCGUAACUCGCUGCUCGAUACUUGGUGCACAUGAAGACAAGUCCAGACGUGGCAUGCAACAGUCUUGGAUGAAAGUUGAUGUCUCGCAUUUUUGCUGAUAUUCCCAACUCAAGUCGUGGAGCUCCUGAAUGGUUCAGUUCUCUCCAUUGGAAGUAGAGGUCUGACCGCUUGGUACUGAAACCACCUGGGACUGAAGCCCAUUGCUCCUUGUUGGCGUGUCCAAAAUGGGAAGUUAAAUCGAAGGUAACUCAAACUGGCUGCAAAAUUAUUGUUGCAUUGUGUUGGCAAGUAGUCUUGCUUCAUAUACUUAAAUUAGUUGAACAAUUCAAGCCUAUUUGUUGAAGUUUGUAAAAGACGUAAACCUUGGUCGGUAAUCUGAGAAUGUUGAAGGGGUUUGAACAUGUUUGGUUCUCUUUGCACUAACCCUCAACCCUUGACUGUCUGCUCGGUAUUGUUUUGCCUUGGACUACUCUGAGAACUUGCAAUUGGUUUAAACCUUGCAGGCUCGGGGAGUUCCAUGGUUUAAGCAUGCACGGCAGAACAUCUUGUGGUGGGGCUAUGUUGCACCGAUGUCCACAGUUAGUGUUGAACUACUGUAAAGAUGUUGAUGACCCUGGAUCAGCCGGGUCAAUCUCAAGUCCGCCCUCUGAUGCUACACGGCAAUUGACGGGCUGUUGGAAUGAUGUUGCACAGCACUUGACGGGCUGUAGAUGUCUGGUGGGAAUGCCUGGUCUCUCUGCACUUGCCUUUAACCCUUGGAGACCCCCUGUUGAAGUUUUGGUGUCCACAUAUUCGAACAACAGUUGCCAGUUUUGACAUACCACCAUAGAGUGAUGUGAUGUCUGCAAGUUGCAACAGGUCUAGAUGUCCCACCAUAGAGUGAUGUAUGGUUCAAGUCCAAUCAAAUCGAUGAGUUUCCUUCUGGGCAGAGUUGUAUUACACAGGCUUUGGUGAUGCUGGCUGAAGAAUACUCUGGCAUGCUCCCUCUGCACAUGUACCAGGAAUGCAACACUGCUUGUAGGUAAUUAUAGUCCUGAUAAAACGGCCGCAUAUUUUUAACUCUGCUGGCGACUAAAAAGUGUUGACGACGAGGACGGUGUUUAUUUUAAAUUGAACAAUUUUUACAAGGAAUGCAGUUUUAACCAGCGAAUGUGUUCACAAUAGUUGAACUUGGGCAAGGGUGGGGAAAAUUAUUCUCAAAUUUAUUGCAGGAAUGCUUUCGUGGGUUAUGUUGCCCCGGCAAGUGAGAUAUGUAGGAUUAUGUUCAGGAUUUGUCCAGUUUGGUUCAAGCUUUUGAGUUUGCUGCUAGUGCCAAUACUAUUCUGCUAGAUCGUCGAAGCUGGAUUGCAACGCGUGCGUCCAAUUGACCAAGAAGUUCUACUAAUGGUCCGAAAGAAUGGCCUGCCCUCCGAACGUGUCCACAGAUCAAUCCGGUUCCCAAAGAUUUCAAAUUGUGCUCUUUCCUGGCUAUUUCUUGUGGAUACAGUAUUGGUAUGGUACAUUUUGUUGCUAACCAUUGAUGUAAUAAUUGGAAAUGUGGGUCUUAAAAAUUUGUUGAAAAUGUCAAGUUGUCACUACGAAAGAAAUAGUUCAGUAAUAAUUCAAAUUAGAUUUUCUAGAAAGUUCUGUUUUUGAAGUUCAUGAGAUUGGGAGGGGCAGGGGAAAUCAUUCUCCCAAAUUUCUUACAGUUUCUUGCAGAUUAAAGACUUGAAAUUAUCUUGUUCGACAUCUGAAAUCCCAGCAUCCUAGCGUGAUCUUCUGAAGAACUGAUCAUUCAAUGUACUCUCUGCAAAAAGUCGAUUCAUGGAAGUCCGGUCCUUGAUUCCUAAAUUUUCCUCUAAGAUAACUGCCCAGCAUACAAACAAACAGGUGUCCAGCUCGAAGUACUGCCCCCGCGUGAUGGUAUUCAUCUCCAGUAAUGGUAUCCAGUCUUUUCUACAGUAAUGGUAUCCAGUCUUUUCUACAAGUUUGAUUUUGAACGUACACUUUUUGUUGUCAGUUGGUGUGCACCUAUAAUCUUCUGCCAUAAAACCGAACAAUUGCUGAUAACUUUCGUGUUUUGAAACAGAUUUGUGGUUCAAUUACAUGCACUAACUUGUCUUCAUCUAGAAAUUAAUUCAUAUCAUCCGCAUUGUCAUGAAGUAAUAUUCUGUUGUGAGUUGGGGGUUUGGGGGAAGUCAUUUUCCCAUUUAUUGCAGAUCCUUAGAAAUGAAAAGUGAAGUGAGACUUCAGAGAAAACAUCCUUACCUCAAAACGUCAAGCUGAUGGGCUAGCCUCUUGUUCAAAAAGUAUCCCAUUCGUCCUGUGAAGACCCCACUCAUGGUCCUGUUUGUCUGCUCUGUUUUCAACGAUGAUGUGUGAAUAAAGUGCAAGACCUCUGAUCGAUGACUGGUCUCUUAAAAUCAUGUCGCCCCUGUGAAAAGAAGGUCUUGGAAUGGUAUCACUUUAUCUUUAUUAAUGAUUAAUGUCAUCUCUACUUCAUUUAUGAAUCAUGAUUGAUGAUAGUCUUUUAGAUACCAAGUAGAUAGGUGUGUAACUGUAAUCCUUGAGAAGUCUUGAUAAUACCUAUUCUUUGUGAAAUGAACAGUUCAGGGGAGGGGGAUUACUCUUUGUUUAUUACAGAUACUUUGAAGGUGGUAAAACACAAGUUCCGUGUCGCCUCGCUGGAAAUCCUGAUAUCGAACAUGUUCCAAUUCCUUAGCCGAAACAAGUCGUCCCAACCACGCACCAUCCCCAGGCUGCCCACACAAGUCGCCAACAUGUAUCAAGAAUACUGCCCUUUCUGGUGGAACAGAUCUGUGCUUUGAGCUGUAAAUGAUCUACAUUAGCCGAUAACCUAUCCAUCAAAUGGCUGAAAAAUAUCUUCCAUGGCCUCGACUCGUGAUCCACCUGGCGAACGGUGUACUCUUCAGCCACACACUAUGCAGUCGCAACAAGCGCUGGUUUCAAGAAAGCCAAUUGAUUCCGGGUCCUAUGGUUCACAUGGCGUUUAUGACAUCCUUGAAAGCUUUUGACGAAGGAUUUCUUCCAUGGUAUAUUUUAUCCUUGUUGAUCAUACUUAAAAUUUCUACCGAAAUUAAAGUGCUGUUCAUCAUUUGUUAAUUAAACCGCUUGCUAUCUCAUUUUCCUUCUAAAUAUUGGUGUAUCCUAACAUUUUGAUGAUCGAACUUAACAUUUAUAUUUCCUUGAUAGUAAACCAUUACUCUGUAGUGAAUGAAAUUUGUGAAAACCAUGAAAUGAAUUGUUUGAUUUGUAUGAAUGUUGGGCGGGGAAUGGGAAAAUGAUUCUCCAGUUUAUUACAGAUGCUCCAAGAGGUUGAAAACCAUUUGCUUUGACAUCCAAAACGGUUGAUCCUCCUUGCGCAAGUCUUCGCAUCGUGACCUACAAACAUGUUAUGCAUCCUGGAGAUAUCGCUGUACCUCCCAGUAGCUCCCUGCUGUUCACCACCUACACUGUCCCAAAACAGAUUGUUCCCAUCAUCGCAGCCAACAAAGAAGUCCGUAGUCUUUUGAGUUGCAUGGCUUCAAGCCUUGUUCCAUCGUGUCUUCUCCCUACAGUGCCAAGAAUUGAAAGUUGUUGCUGACACCCGGAUGGUUAUGGUACCCUUUUCAUUUGCAAUUCGCUGUUUCAUGAUUUCUCUUAUAACUGAGAUUCCUUCAAAGUAGUUCUUGGUCAUACUGAUAAUUUGUGAACAGUUCUAAGAGCUUUUUAUAACGGUCUAAUCGCAAUUGUAAUAUUAAUAAUUAAUACUGAUUGAUGAUGUUGCCUGGUCAAGUUACCUGCGUAAAUGGGGAUGUUUGGGAGGGUUAAUGCUAGUUUGUUUCAGACCUGUGCUGGUGGCUGACAAAAGAAAACGGGAAUUGGUCUACUUCUGAAAGUCCCGUGUGCCAUGAUGUGCCAGUGAGCAUUGAUAGUCCUUAAAAAGUGAUGUCACAAUACGUACCCAUGGUUUUCCUUGGCUCGACCUUCCGUGAAGUGGUUAUCCCCAGCUCUCUUCAACAUCCCUUUUUGUGGCGAUGCAAUGUUCCUUGAUGGCGGAGUGGCGAAUUGGUGUCCCAAGUGAAAGAUCUGUAAAGAUCUAUUUGGUAACAUCUUCAUUAUUUUCUUGCAGUUUUAAUUGCGAAUUAUUGCUUGAAUCCAAUAAUAAGAUAAUAAUAAAGACUUACUUUUUUCAGUUCCAUAAAAUUCUCUUCAAAGUAACUUCACUCUUUCAGUUCCAUAAAAUUCUCUUUAAAGUAACUUCACACAUUCUGAUAUAUUAAUGUUAACACUUGAAAAAUCUCAUUUAAAGUUUUCGCUUGAAUGAAUAAACAUAACAAACCUUGCUUGUUUAGUACUCGUAACUAAACCAAAAUGUUUUACACUAUUGCUUCGAAAAUACUGGGUAUCGUGGGUGGGGAUUAUCUAUUUCUUUCAGAUCAUACUUUCUAUAGGCUGGUAAAAGAAUGCUGUCUGCGGUACUGAGAAUGGUCCAUGUAAAGAGUUCAUUAGGCGGCCUCUACGAUAUCGCGAAGUUAAUGCGGGAAAGAUUGCGCAUGGGUGAAUUGGUAGUGGCGAGUAAUUGCAUACACGUAGGAUAAAAGUGCCGAGAUCACGAAUGGUAGUCGCAUAAUCGUAGGAAACGAGCGCAGAUCAUGAAUGUUACUUGGGGAUCGCAGGCUAGCAGGGAAAUUGGUUCAGAGGGAUUGCAGGGAUCGGAUUUGGAUUUGGUCUUCCAUCUUUUUCGGGGAUUAGAGGAAAUCUUUGGAUUGGUAGGAUCAUACGUGUUGCUGUGAAGGAAGUGUAGGAUCAGGAUUGCCGGUCUUCUUGGUGUUGGAUCGAAGGAAAUAUUGGUACGGAGUCCAAUGUAGAAUCUGGGUUAGCCUUGUUGAUCUUAUCAAUGUUGGUGGAUUGAGUAGCUGGCGGCGACGGGAUUAAUUUGGUUUUCACAGUUUUCUGCAUUGGAUGAUGUAUGUUGAGGACGAUUGAUUGAUUGAUGUAUGGAUGAUUGAUUUUGCAUCUGGUGCAAGAUGUAUUUCAUAAUGCAAGAACUUUUCUUUGAAGAUGUUUUUCACCUUUCUGUGAUACUUGCAUAGCAUUCUCUAAACUGUGAUACACUUUUCCUGUGAUAAUUCAAUGUCUGUGAUGCAUACUGUGAUUGUAUUGUAUUUUGAUUUCUAAUUCUAAAAUUCCUGUCUUAGGGAAAUUUCUAUUGGGGAAGAAAUGCAAUAUUGAUAAAUGCCGAAUUUAAAGUGAAUUUAGUAAGAAUCCAUGGUGGUGCUCUGAUAUCCUCUUUUGACUAGGGACAGUAUUUGAUUGGUGGCAUGUUUGUCCAUAUGAAUAAUUCUACUUUUACACGAUUACAGUGAUGUGUAGGCUGUGUGCACAAUUAAUCAAAAAUAUAUAGAACUUGCACACACGAAAUGUACAUUUCAAGGUUUCGGAAGGGAAACAGGUUUAUGUUAUUUGACUGAAUAUCUUCGUGCAAGUUACACUUGCAGGGUGUUCUUGGUGUUGGCUUGCAACAUUUCAAAGCAUCUUUGGGCGUUUCUGUGAGCUGUUGGUGGAUUGAGUAACCGACAGUGAGAGAUGUUUCAAAGUUGCUGAACAAAUCGUAUGGUUUAUAAGAACAAAGCAUUCAAUUUACAAGUCUAUUCAACUUCACCAUGCAGCCUGAACAAAUCGUAUGGUUUCUAAAAACAAAACAUUCAAGUUAUAAGUGUUUUCAACUUCACCAUGCAGCCUAACACAAAUAUCUUCUGCAAAUCCUAGAAAUUCUUCUCGGAAAUUCUUUUACAGUUUACACUAUUGAAGUAAGUACCAAGUAUUUCUAAUGUUCACAUUGUGUUAUAGAAGCACUUGCAGUACAAAGUUAAGUAUUCAUUUCUGAGUCGGUAUAUCUACAUGUAUAUGGAAUUUCUCUUGGGCCACUGUGUGUGGUUUUGUAAAUAUUGUUGGACUUAAAUGGUGAAAUAUAAGAACAAAAGUAAGUACUUGUGAGUACUAUUUAGCCACUACCUUUAGUCUUGGUCCUGGCAGUAAGCACAUGUACUUGUAUCCCUAAAUGUAAUCUUGCAUUGCAUUGAUACUGCAGAUAAGUGGUCUUUAAAAAAUAAUUUACCCAACCUUGUAGUAGUU